rnacentral:rRNA from 1 species
UACGGAGGGUGCGAGCGUUGUUCGGAAUUAUUGGGCGUAAAGCGCGUGCAGGCGGUUUGGUAAGUCUGAUGUGAAAGCCCCGGGCUCAACCUGGGAAAUGCAUUGGAAACUGCUGGACUUGAAUACGGUAGAGGGUAGUGGAAUUCCUGGUGUAGGAGUGAAAUCCGUAGAUAUCAGGAGGAACACCGGUGGCGAAGGCGGCUGCCUGGACCGAUAUUGACGCUGAGACGCGAAAGCGUGGGUAGCAAACAGGAUUAGAUACCCCCGUAGUCCCU